GUUUUCAAGAGCGUUCACUAUCGUGGCCAAGCGGUUGGGACCAGGAGGGGAAGCCCUUUGCUCAUCGGCGUCCGGAGCGAGCACAAGCUCUCCACCGACCACAUCCCGAUCCUUUACAGAACAGGGAAGGACAAGAAGGGCGGCUGCGGCCUCGCCCGCGUGGACAGCACCACCUGCCUCUUCCCCGUCGAGGAGAAGGCCGUCGAGUAUUACUUCGCCUCCGACGCCAGGUCCGUGGCAUCUCUGGCAGGAUCGGGAAACGUGGUCUUUUCAAACCACUUUUUAAUUAAGAUCAGUGAUUCCUAAAGUGGGCACUACCGCCCCCUGAUGGCGGUGAUGGCACCUAUUACGG
rnacentral:lncRNA from 11 species